GUAAUGGUAUGGAUGGAGGAAGUGGUAUAGCAAAAUCCUUGAACCUACGUACAGAAACUUGAUAAGGCGAUUAGGUGGGUAAGGUUGCAAGGCAAACCGAAGCCCUAAUGGUAAACGUAUACCGAAGUUGUAAAUCAAGAGGUUGUGGGAUGAAAGAUUA
rnacentral:ncRNA from 1 species